rnacentral:rRNA from 1 species
AGCAGCCGCGGUAAUUCCAGCUCCAAUAGCGUAUAUUAAAGUUGUUGCAGUUAAAAAGCUCGUAGUUGAAUUUCGAGAUCAAAUUGUCGGUCGUGCCUCGGUACGUACUGGCAUUAUUGAUUUCUCCUUUCUGAAGAACCAUGAUGUCAUUAAUUGGGUGUCUUGGGAAAUCAGGACCGUUACUUUGAAAAAAUUUAGAGUGUUUAAAGCGGGCUCACGCUUGAAUACAUUAGCAUGGAAUAAUGAAAUAGGACGUUUGAUUCUAUUUUGUUGGUUUCUAGGAUCGACGUAAUGAUUAAUAGGGAUAGUUGGGGGCAUUAGUAUUCAAUUGUCAGAGGUGAAAUUCUUGGAUUUAUUGAAGACUAACUACUGCGAAAGCAUUUGCC